UACGAAGGGGGCUAGCGUUGUUCGGAAUCACUGGGCGUAAAGGGCGCGUAGGCGGCUUUAUAAGUCGGGGGUGAAAGCCUGUGGCUCACCGCAGAAUUGCCUUCGAUACUGUAGAGCUUGAGACCGGAAGAGGUAAGUGGAACUGACGAGUGUAGAGGUAGAAAUUCGUAGAUAGUUCGCAAGAACACCAGUGGCGAAGGCGGCU
rnacentral:rRNA from 1 species